rnacentral:rRNA from 1 species
GACGAACGCUGGCGGCGUGCCUAACACAUGCAAGUCAAAGGAAAGCAACUUCGGUUGUAAGUACUUGGCGCAAGGGUGAGUAAUGUAUAGGUAAUCUGCCCUUAGGACUGGCAUAACUUCGAGAAAUCGAGGACAAUACCAGAUGAUGCAGCGGGACCGCAUGGUCAUGUUGUUAAAGAUUUAUCGCCUAAGGAUGAGCCUAUAUCCCACCAGGUAGUUGGCAGGAUAAUAGCCUACCAAGCCUACGACGGGUAGCUGGUCUGAGAGGAUGAUCAGCCACAUUGGAACUGAGACACGGUCCAGACUCCUACGGGAGGCAGCAGUGAGGAAUAUUGCGCAAUGGGCGAAAGCCUGACGCAGCAACGCCGCGUGGAUGAUGAAGUUCUUCGGAAUGUAAAGUCCUUUUGUAGAGGAAGAACAUGUCGGUUUACCGGCACUGACGGUACUCUGCGAAUAAGCCACGGCUAACUCUGU